rnacentral:rRNA from 1 species
UACGGGGGGAGCAAGCGUUGUUCGGAUUUACUGGGCGUAAAGGGCGCGUAGGCGGUCAGCACAAGUCAGUUGUGAAAUCUCCGGGCUUAACUCGGAAAGGUCAACUGAUACUGUGCGACUAGAGUGCGGAAGGGGCAACUGGAAUUCUCGGUGUAGCGGUGAAAUGCGUAGAUAUCGAGAGGAACACCUGCGGCGAAGGCGGGUUGCUGGGCCGACACUGACGCUGAGGCGCGAAAGCGUGGGGGGCAAACAGG